rnacentral:rRNA from 1 species
CAGUCGAGCGGAACGAGUUAUCUGAACCUUCGGGGGACGAUAACGGCGUCGAGCGGCGGACGGGUGAGUAAUGCCUGGGAAAUUGCCCUGAUGUGGGGGAUAACCAUUGGAAACGAUGGCUAAUACCGCAUAAUAGCUUCGGCUCAAAGAGGGGGACCUUCGGGCCUCUCGCGUCAGGAUAUGCCCAGGUGGGAUUAGCUAGUUGGUGAGGUAAGGGCUCACCAAGGCAACGAUCCCUAGCUGGUCUGAGAGGAUGAUCAGCCACACUGGAACUGAGACACGGUCCAGACUCCUACGGGAGGCAGCAGUGGGGAAUAUUGCACAAUGGGCGCAAGCCUGAUGCAGCCAUGCCGCGUGUAUGAAGAAGGCCUUCGGGUUGUAAAGUACUUUCAGCAGUGAGGAAGGUUCAUGCGUUAAUAGCGUAUGGAUUUGACGUUAGCUGCAGAAGAAGCACCGGCUAACUCCGUGCCAGCAGCCGCGGUAAUACGGAGGGUGCGAGCGUUAAUCGGAAUUACUGGGCGUAAAGCGCAUGCAGGUGGUUUGUUAAGUCAGAUGUGAAAGCCCGGGGCUCAACCUCGGAAUUGCAUUUGAAACUGGCAGACUAGAGUACUGUAGAGGGGGGUAGAAUUUCAGGUGUAGCGGUGAAAUGCGUAGAGAUCUGAAGGAAUACCGGUGGCGAAGGCGGCCCCCUGGACAGAUACUGACACUCAGAUGCGAAAGCGUGGGGAGCAAACAGGAUUAGAUACCCUGGUAGUCCACGCCGUAAACGAUGUCUACUUGGAGGUUGUGGCCUUGAGCCGUGGCUUUCGGAGCUAACGCGUUAAGUAGACCGCCUGGGGAGUACGGUCGCAAGAUUAAAACUCAAAUGAAUUGACGGGGGCCCGCACAAGCGGUGGAGCAUGUGGUUUAAUUCGAUGCAACGCGAGAACCUUACCUACUCUUGACAUCCAGAGAACUUUCCAGAGAUGGAUUGGUGCCUUCGGGAACUCUGAGACAGGUGCUGCAUGGCUGUCGUCAGCUCGUGUUGUGAAAUGUUGGGAUAAGUCCGCACGAGCGCAACCCUUAUCUGUUUGCAGCGAGUAUGUCAGGUACUCCAGGAGACUGCCGGGUGAUAC